UCAACAACAACAAAUCCAAAGUCAGAUGGUCUUUCACAAUUGUUAGGAGCUGAUAAUCCUGGUCGGUUAAGGGCUAUGGGCAGAGGGAUGAGUAUGACAAAACUGUCUUUUUUCCAAGUCAACAGUAAGUGUAUGGCUGAAAUGAAAGAAAAGCAAGUUAGUUUACAAAGAAAAGUAGAUGACUUACAAGCUGUCAUUGAACAUUUGAAGAGAGGAGAACCUGAGGUCGGGGAAAAUUCAGCUGCAAGGAGUGUCACUAAUAGAGCACAUCCUAAGUGUUUGCU